rnacentral:rRNA from 1 species
AGCUCCAAUAGCGUAUAUUAAAGUUGUUGCAGUUAAAAAGCUCGUAGUUGGAUUUCUGGUUGAAACGUCCGGUCCGCUCCGCAAGGAGUGUGCACUGGCGACGCUUUCGUCCAUCUUUGGGAAGAACCAUUCUGGCAUUAAAUUAUCGGAGUGGGGAUUCCCAUCGUUUACUGUGAGAAAAUUAGAGUGUUCAACGCAGGCUUACGCCUUGAAUAUAUUAGCAUGGAAUAAUGAGAUAGGACCUUGGUUUCUAUUUUGUUGGUUUGCGGGCCAAGGUAAUGAUUAAUAGGGAUAGUUGGGGGUAUUCGUAUUCAAUUGUCAGAGGUGAAAUUCUUGGAUUUAUGGAAGACGAACUACUGCGAAAGCAUUUACCAAGGAUGUUUUCA